rnacentral:rRNA from 1 species
CCAGCAGCUGCGGUAAUUCCAGCUCCAAUAGCGUAUAUUAAAGUUGUUGCAGUUAAAAAGCUCGUAGUUGGAUUUCUGGCACGAUGCGCCUGGCCCGCCUCAUUACGAGUGUGUGUGCUAGUGCGCGUCUGCCAUCCAUUUACAGAACGGUCGUACCUUUCAUUAGGCCGCGCUCGUGAUGUAAAUCUUUUACUUUGAAAAAAUUAGAGUGUUUAAAGCAGGCAUUUGCUAUGAAUACAUUAGCAUGGAAUAAUAAUCUAGGACUCUGGUUCUAUUUUGUUGGUUUCUAGUACUGGAGUAAUGAUUGAUAGGGAUAGUUGGGGGUGCUAGUAUUUAGGGGCCAGAGGUGAAAUUCUUGGAUUCUCUAAAGACUAACUUAUGCGAAAGCAUUCACCAAGGAUGUCUUCUUUGAUCAAGAACGAAAGU